GACGAACGCUGGCGGCGCGCCUAACACAUGCAAGUCGAACGGAGCUGAGAGAAGCUUGCUUUUCUUAGCUUAGUGGCGAACGGGUGAGUAACCCGUGAGUAACCUGCCCUGGAGUGGGGGACAACAGUUGGAAACGACUGCUAAUACCGCAUAAGCCCACGAUCCGGCAUCGGAUUGAGGGAAAAGGAUUUAUUCGCUUCAGGAUGGACUCGCGUCCAAUUAGCUAGUUGGUGAGGUAACGGCCCACCAAGGCGACGAUUGGUAGCCGGACUGAGAGGUUGAACGGCCACAUUGGGACUGAGACACGGCCCAGACUCCUACGGGAGGCAGCAGUGGGGGAUAUUGCACAAUGGGGGAAACCCUGAUGCAGCGACGCCGCGUGGAGGAAGAAGGUUUUCGGAUUGUAAACUCCUGUCGUUAGGGACGAUAAUGACGGUACCUAACAAGAAAGCACCGGCUAACUACGUG
rnacentral:rRNA from 1 species